rnacentral:rRNA from 1 species
UACGAAUGGGGCAAGCGUUGUUCGGAAUCACUGGGCGUAAAGCGUGUGUAGGCGGUUAAUCAAGUCAGAAGUGAAAUCCCAGGGCUUAACCCUGGAAUUGCUUUUGAAACUGAUUGGCUAGAGUACUGGAGAGGUUAGCAGAAUUCCGAGUGUAGAGGUGAAAUUCGCAGAUAUUCGGAGGAAUACCAGUGGCGUAAGCGGCUAACUGGACAGUAACUGACGCUGAGACACGAAAGCGUGGGGAGCGAACAGGA